UACGGAGGGUGCGAGCGUUAUCCGGAUUCACUGGGUUUAAAGGGUGCGUAGGUGGGAAUGUAAGUCAGUGGUGAAAUCUCCGAGCUUAACUCAGAAACUGCCAUUGAUACUAUGUUUCUUGAAUUUUCUGGAGGUCAGCGGAAUAUGUCAUGUAGCGGUGAAAUGCUUAGAUAUGACAUAGAACACCAAUUGCGAAGGCAGCUGGCUACAGGGAUAUUGACACUGAGGCACGAAAGCGUGGGGAUCAAACAGG
rnacentral:rRNA from 1 species